CGGCCGCGGGCCCGGGGAGGGGAGCGGAGGGGAGGCCGCCCGGGCACGGCAGGCCCCAGGCCGCGGAGCUUUUUCUAGGAAAGACAUUAAACUGCGCUGCCAACAGAGCUUAUAGCGUUGCCAGAGAAUUAUGCUAGUCGUUCUGGAUUUUACCUUCAGUCUUAAUACCUGGGAUUUUACCUUCAGUCUAACACCUGGGAUAUACCAUAGGCAGCUUUUGCCUACCUGAGCAUCAUCGCACAAGCAGAUGAGGUCCAUCUGCUCCACAAAGCCUUGGAUUGGAGCGAGACUGAAGGCACAGCGAGGCACCAACACACCAGCAGGAAGCAGAUGGCUGGCUCCAGAAAAGUUCAAGCCCAGUCCACACACAAUCCAGGUGCCAGAGUGGAGCCCACCACGCACGGCAGCACGUAAAUAAAUACCAGCGAACCAGGAA